AUAAUGCUCUAUUUAUUUCUAAUAUCAAACCUGUGUUUUAUAAAGUUUCGAUUUUUGGUUAUUACUUUUAAAAUACGUAAAUAUGAAGCCAGUGUAUUUUUCACUUUUGGUUAUUUUGGCAGUAUUUCAGCAAGUUGAGGGUAUGACCAGCCAUAGACCAGCCACUUGUGAGACUUCAGAUGAUUUAGCAAGGUGUAGUUAUUUAUGUGUGGGUAUUGGCUGUCAAUUUGGAGAUUGCGACGUACAUGUAGAUGUAGAUGUAGGGUUGGAAACCGUGAUGAACUAUUCACAGGCAUAACACCAACCACUCAUGUGUUCAUUGUGAAGUAGAAGAAGCCGUAUAUCAAAGAAGUGGCAAAUUUCCACGUCUAUUGUCGAGUUGAUUUAAUAAAACAUGAAGACGAA